CCCGCUCAACGACCGCGGAGGACAUU
rnacentral:rRNA from 1 species